rnacentral:rRNA from 1 species
UGGGGAAUAUUGCACAAUGGGCGAAAGCCUGAUGCAGCAACGCCGCGUGAGUGAUGAAGGUCUUCGGAUUGUAAAGCUCUGUCUUUUGGGACGAUAAUGACGGUACCAAAGGAGGAAGCCACGGCUAACUACGUGCCAGCAGCCGCGGUAAUACGUAGGUGGCGAGCGUUGUCCGGAUUUACUGGGCGUAAAGGGUGCGUAGGCGGAUGUUUAAGUGAGAUGUGAAAUACCCGGGCUUAACUUGGGUGCCGCAUUUCAAACUGGAUAUCUAGAGUGCAGGAGAGGAGAAUGGAAUUCCUAGUGUAGCGGUGAAAUGCGUAGAGAUUAGGAAGAACACCAGUGGCGAAGGCGAUUCUCUGGACUGUAACUGACGCUGAGGCACGAAAGCGUGGGUAGCAAACAGGAUUAGAUACCCUGGUAGUCCACGCCGUAAACGAUGAGUACUAGGUGUAGGAGGUAUCGACCCCUUCUGUGCCGCAGUAAACACAUUAAGUACUCCGCCUGGGAAGUACGAUCGCAAGAUUAAAAC